UACGUAGGGAGCUAGCGUUGUCCGGAAUCAUUGGGCGUAAAGCGCGCGUAGGCGGCCCGGUAAGUCCGCUGUGAAAGUCAAAGGCUCAACCUUUGAAUGUCAGCGGAUACUGCCGGGCUAGAGUCCGGAAGAGGCGAGUGGAACUCCUGGUGUAGCGGUGGAAUGCGCAGAUAUCAGGAGGAACACCAGCGGCGAAGGCGGCGCUCUGGGCCGGAACUGACGCUGAGGAGCGAAAGCGUGGGUAGCAAACAGG
rnacentral:rRNA from 1 species